ACAUUGGAAUAUGGUGAGGAACACUGUAUUCUUUGGAAAAAUAAUUAUUUAUUCUUUGAAAAAAUAAUUAGUUAUGUGAUGCACCAUUACAGAUUAGAUACUCAUUUCCUUGUCUCUAUAGUCUAAGUCAGAAGAAGCAUGGGCUAGUUGCUGACUUUUUCAACCAUAGAGCUUUGCUUUGGAGAAAAUUCUUUCUCACUUCCCAGCC
rnacentral:lncRNA from 1 species